AUAGUCUAUUAUCAAAUUUCGCAAAACUCACGAAUUCCGCGCAGGGGCCAUGCUAAUCUUCUCUGUGCUGUUCCAAUUUUAGAAAAUGUUCAAAAAUGAAC